AGUAGCGACCAUUUCCAUUGGCGUUAGGGAGUCCUUGGAGCGCUGUGUUGGGACCGUGGUGGUGACUGGAUCCAGGAGGUCGAGAGUCGUUCUUCUCUUUGCACAGACGUGACUCUGCAGCUCUUUAACGGCGCCCGCUGCUCUCAACCCAGCUUACCCCACGUGGUCCCAUGGCGGCGGCCGCGCUAAGGUUCCCCGUUCAGGGCACAGUGACUUUUGAAGACGUGGCUGUGAAAUUUACCCAGGAGGAAUGGAAUCUCCUUAGUGAGGCUCAGAGAUGCCUGUACCGUGAUGUGACGCUGGAGAACCUGGCACUUAUGUCCUCCCUGGGUAAGUUGCCCACACUCACCCCUGUGACCUGAGCUAGUCUCUGUCUUUCCCCCUCUUUUUCUAUUGGCAAGACUUUCUCAUGUCAGGAGCAUGGACACAGCUUCCUACUUCAGUUCUUGGUUGGUAGGACUGAGGUAUGCAUACUGCCCUCUCCAUUCUUGGAGCAGCCCCAACACCUGCUAUUGAGCUCCCAGGGAAGAAUUCAGAGUCAGAAGUCUUACAGGCAACUUAAUGC
rnacentral:lncRNA from 1 species